rnacentral:rRNA from 1 species
AGUGAACGCUGGCGGUAGGCCUAACACAUGCAAGUCGAACGGCAGCACAGGAGAGCUUGCUCUCUGGGUGGCGAGUGGCGGACGGGUGAGGAAUACAUCGGAAUCUGCCCAGUCGUGGGGGAUAACGUAGGGAAACUUACGCUAAUACCGCAUACGACCUUCGGUUGAAAGAGGGGGAUCGCAAGACCUCUCGCGAUUGGAUGAGCCGAUGUCGGAUUAGCUAGUUGGCGGGGUAAUGGCCCACCAAGGCGACGAUCCGUAGCUGGUCUGAGAGGAUGAUCAGCCACACUGGAACUGAGACACGGUCCAGACUCCUACGGGAGGCAGCAGUGGAGAAUAUUGGACAAUGGGCGCAAGCCUAAUCCAGCCAUACCGCGUGGGUGAAGAAGGCCUUCGGGUUGUAAAGCCCUUUUGUUGGGAAAGAAAUCUUUCAGGCUAAUACCCUGGGAGGAUGACGGUACCCAAAGAAUAAGCACCGGCUAACUUCGUG